AAGCUCGUAGUUGAAUUUCGGGAUCAAUGUUUCGGUCAUGCCGUUGGUAUGUACUGAUAUUAUUGAUUUCUCACCUUCCAAAGAACCGUAAUGCCAUUAAUUUGGUGUCACGGGGAAUUAGGACUGUUACCUUGAAAAAACUUAGAGUGUUUAAAAGCAGGCUCACGCUUGAAUACAUUAGCAUGGAAUAAUGAAAUAGGACAUCCGAUUCUAUUUUGUUGGUUUCUAGGAUCGAUGUAAUGAUUAAUAGGGAUAGUUGGG
rnacentral:rRNA from 1 species